GACGAACGCUGGCGGCGUGCCUAAUACAUGCAAGUAGAACGCACAGUUUAUACCUUCGCUUGCUACACCAUAGACUGUGAGUUGCGAACGGUUGAGUAACGCGUAGGUAACCUGCCUGGUAGCGGGGGAUAACUAUUGGAAACGAUAGCUAAUACCGCAUAAUAUUAAUUAUUGCAUGAUAAUUAAUUUAACGGUUCAAUUGCACCACUACCAGAUGGACCUGCGUUGUAUUAGCUAGUAGGUGAGGUAACGGCUCACCUAGGCGACGAUACAUAGCCGACCUGGGGAGGAGAACGGCCAAACUGAGACUGAGACACGGCCCAGACCCCUACGGGAGGCAGCAGGAGGGAAUCUUCGGAAAUGGACGAAAGUCUGACCGAGCAACGCCGCGGGAGUGAAGAAGGGUUUCGGAUCGUAAAGCUCUGUUGUAAGAGAAGAACGGGUGUGAGAGUGGAAAGUUCACACUGUGACGGUAUCUUAACAGAAAGGGACGGCUAACUACGUG
rnacentral:rRNA from 1 species